UGGUUAAGUGGAGAACUGGGGAG
rnacentral:misc_RNA from 1 species